CGCCCUCGCUAUUUGGAAGCACAGCCAAGCCAGAUGAAGCUAGAGUGAACAUGUUUUUGUUGAGCUGUCCAGAAAACUGAUUAAAUUUUCUGUAAAAUGCUGUUUAACGUAGUCAGUUAAAGCUGAAAUGAUGAAUGCUAUGAUUCAUAUAUUGUUUCAUAUACUGUAACUUGUACCGGCUGACCUGAAUGUACUUAUACCCGGCAAAAUAAAUCGAAUGAGAGAUAUUUAUUAAACUUCAUAUCGAACUCAACCGUGGUGUUUGUACAUUGUGCUAACCUGUGUGUGUUAUCCCAACCUUUCUAUACA